rnacentral:lncRNA from 1 species
UUGUGUCUGUCUUCUCACAAGACCCUCUUUCUUUUCAUAUAUGUAUACCUAUAUAUAUUUUAUUCAUUCUCUAAUAAUAAUAAUAAUAAUAAAGUUUUGCCCCGUUUUAAGUAUUGUAACUCCUGAUCACCGCUACCCUUUCCGAUUGAUCUGAGUCCCAUAACGCAUGUCAGGGCUCUGCCCGACUAAGUUCGUUGGGAUUCUGUCUCGGGACAUCGGGACAAGGUUGAUUUAGGGGUACUGUACUUAACACGAGUGCAUUAUCUAUACUAUAUUAUAAAACAUUUCCUCAAGGGCUUCUUAAAAAUUAAGAGGUAAAAGUUUUACAACUUGUUAUACAACACAUAAUGCAUAUAUUAAUUAAUGAGCGAAGAUGAACACCCGAUUCCAGUGAAGUACGACGACAGUAACGUUUCGAGACCAUACCUGGUGGUAGUAACCGAACACCAACGGCUGUAACUAGGAUUCUUCCAUUGCGGACUGCGGACGACAUCCAUGAUCAGAGUUUUGUCGUGCUUCUACGUCUGUUGUCGUUUGCAGCAGGUUCUCUUCGGCUACAAAUCCAAAACCCGAUUGUACAAAUCCAAUUUAUGCACCCAGUGACGAUGGGUUAAAGAGUUGUGGUCCGACUUUGAUGGUAACUUCGAUCGAUUGGAAAAAAGAAAUGAGUGUAUGUGAUGGGUUCCACCUAUUUCUGUUGUACGGUAUCAACAAACAAUCAUGAGGCUACCAUUUUUACCCUGUGUGAGAGGGUAAGGUGGAAAUUGAAAUGGGUUUGACUACAAUUUUGGAGUCAAUUUUAGUUAUUGUAAAAGUGCCCUCAUAUUUUGUAACAUAGCAUUCGUGUCCCAAUUUUAUUAAAACAAGGUGUAAUGUUCCAUAAGCGAAAGAACUGUGCCAUAAGCGAAAGAACUUUGAUUGGAUGUUUAACCUGAUUAUAUUUCCUAAUAAUUUUUAAAAUUGGAUGCAUAAAUUACAUCUUCAAGUUUAUUUUAUUUUUAAACUAGGUUAUAACCCCGUGUAUUACACGGGGUUGAAUAAUAAAUUUUAUAUACUAAAUAAUAAAGCAGUAUAUCUUUAAAACCUCAUUGUACUGUACGGGUUGAAUAAAUGUAAUUUUGUAUACCAAAUAAAAAAGUUAUAUCUUUAAAACCACGUGUAUUACAUGAGUUGAAUAAAUGUAAUAUUGUUUACAAAAUAAUAAAAUAAUACGUCUUUAAAAACCUCAUUUAUUACACGGGUUGAAUAAAUGUAAUUUUAUAUACCAAACGAUAAAAAAAUUACAUCUUUAAAAAUAUGCGCAUUACACGGUUUGGAUAAAUGUAAUUUUCUGUACUAAAUAAUAAAAAAAUAUAUAUCCUUAAAAAACCCCGUGUAUUGUACGAAUUGAAUAAAUCUAAUUUUAUAUAUCAAAUAAUAAAAAGUUACAUCUUAAAAAACCUCAUGUGUUACAUGGGUCGAGUAAAUGUAAUUCUUUAUAGUGAAAAUAAAAAUAUUUAAUAUAUUAAUAAAAAGUUUGGUUU